rnacentral:rRNA from 1 species
UACGAAGGGGGCUAGCGUUGUUCGGAAUUACUGGGCGUAAAGGGCGCGUAGGCGGUGUGUCAAGUCAGGCGUGAAAGCCCCGGGCUCAACCUGGGAACCGCGCUUGAGACUGGCACGCUAGAGUUCGGGAGAGGAUGGUGGAAUUCCCAGUGUAGAGGUGAAAUUCGUAGAUAUUGGGAAGAACACCAGUGGCGAAGGCGGCUCACUGGACUGGUAUUGACGCUGAGGUGCGAAAGCGUGGGGAGCAAACAGG